AAGACAAAAAGUUUUAACAAACAAUAAAGACAGAGGAAGAUGAAGUGUUUUGUAGUUAUGGUUACCCUGCUCGUUCUCUCACAGUCAGCUUCUCUCAACUCCAGAGAGUCAAUGGACGAAACGAUAAUGGAAAAUGUUGAACAAGAGGUUGAAGCUGGAGAGGUUGCAGAGGAAGAGGCACGAGUUUACAAGGGAUAUAACGGUGGAAACCGUGUCUGGUACGGAUAGAGAAUAAGAUGGCCGGUGUCAAAACCCUUCACCAUGACAUUGUCAUGGUGAUAUCACCCGUCAUCACGAGAACAAUUUGAUGACAAAACUUGGUCCUUGCUUCCAACCCAACGCCACUGCUUUGAACGAGCGAGGAAAUUUCUUUUUUUGAUCUUGACUUCGAACAGUUUUAAUUCUAGUUUAUCAAUUUGAGAUGAUUUCCUUAACAAUUCAAGGACAGUGUCAUAGCUAAGCUUGGACAAAGACGGUUUUUAAAAUUUUUAAUGUGUUUAAUCGUUGACCUUAAGGUAAAAGUCGUAACCUUUUUUUCGUGCAGGGCGUUCAUCUUAAACACGAUUAAUACAAUUUAUCAAGUUUCAUACAAGAUGCAA